GACGAACGCUGGCGGCGUGCUUAACACAUGCAAGUCGAGCGAUGAAGCCGGAGCUUGCUCCGGUGGAUUAGUGGCGAACGGGUGAGUAACACGUGAGCAAUCUGCCCUUGACUCUGGGAUAACUGCGGGAAACUGUAGCUAAUACCGGAUACGACACCUUGGGGCAUCCCAGGGUGUGGAAAGAAUUUCGGUCAAGGAUGAGCUCGCGGCCUAUCAGCUAGUUGGUGAGGUAAUGGCUCACCAAGGCGACGACGGGUAGCCGGCCUGAGAGGGUGACCGGCCACACUGGAACUGAGAAACGGUCCAGACUCCUACGGGAGGCAGCAGUGGGGAAUAUUGCACAAUGGGCGAAAGCCUGAUUCAGCAACGCCGCGUGAGGGAUGAAGGCCUUCGGGUUGUAAACCUCUUUUAGUAGGGAAGAAGCGAAAGUGACGGUACCUGCAGAAAAAGCACCGGCUAACUACGUGCCAGCAGCCGCGGUAA
rnacentral:rRNA from 1 species